rnacentral:tRNA from 1 species
GCCGCGCGUGCGCUGGCCGGCGUGGGCGCGGCGCUGCUGCUGCCGGCGUCGCUCGCGAUCGUUCGCGUCGUGUGGCGC